CCGUGCUAAAUGGGGCAUUAGCGGCGUCUUGUAACCUGCAAUCCGCUACAGCAGGAUUGAAGCCGAAAUUGAGGGCUGCUUUUGUGGGGUCAGCCGACGGUAAGUAGUGUUGACAGUUGGGUCCUGCGCAACAUGGACUCGCGAACCGUGUCAGGUCCGGGAGGAAGCAGCACUAAGCGAGCAACUAUGUGUGCCGCGGGAGUGCCUGGCUCGAGCCAACUGCCGUCGUAACGCUCGGAAGAGUAUGUUCGAAACUCGGCGCACGG
rnacentral:SRP_RNA from 1 species